CUACGGGUUGCUGCAGUGGGGAAUCUUGGACAAUGGGCGCAAGCCUGAUCCAGCCAUGCCGCGUGAGUGAUGAAGGCCUUAGGGUCGUAAAGCUCUUUCGCCAGAGAUGAUAAUGACAGUAUCUGGUAAAGAAACCCCGGCUAACUCCGUGCCAGCAGCCGCGGUAAUACGGAGGGGGUUAGCGUUGUUCGGAAUUACUGGGCGUAAAGCGCGCGUAGGCGGACUAGUCAGUCAGGGGUGAAAUCCCGGGGCUCAACCCCGGAACUGCCUUUGAUACUGCUAGUCUAGAGUUCGAGAGAGGUGAUUGGAAUUCCGAGUGUAGAGGUGAGAUUCGUAGAUAUUCGGAGGAACACCAGUGGCGAAGGCGGCUCACUGGCUCGAUACUGACGCUGAGGUGCGAAAGUGUGGGGAGCAAACAGGAUUAGAUACCCCGGUAGUC
rnacentral:rRNA from 1 species